rnacentral:rRNA from 1 species
GAUGAACGCUGGCGGCGUGCCUAAUACAUGCAAGUCGAGCGAACAGAUGAGGAGCUUGCUCCUCUGACGUUAGCGGCGGACGGGUGAGUAACACGUGGAUAACCUACCUAUAAGACUGGGAUAACUUCGGGAAACCGGAGCUAAUACCGGAUAAUAUAUUGAACCGCAUGGUUCAAUAGUGAAAGACGGUUUUGCUGUCACAUAUAGAUGGAUCCGCGCCGCAUUAGCUAGUUGGUAAGGUAACGGCUUACCAAGGCAACGAUGCGUAGCCGACCUGAGAGGGUGAUCGGCCACACUGGAACUGAGGCACGGUCCAGACUCCUACGGGAGGCAGCAGUAGGGAAUCUUCCGCAAUGGGCGAAAGCCUGACGGAGCAACGCCGCGUGAGUGAUGAAGGUCUUCGGAUCGUAAAACUCUGUUAUUAGGGAAGAACAAAUGUGUAAGUAACUAUGCACGUCUUGACGGUACCUAAUCAGAAAGCCACGGCUAACUACGUG